UUUGAAGAACAGAGGGUGACA
rnacentral:piRNA from 1 species